GAUGAACGCUGGCGGCGUGCUUAACACAUGCAAGUCGAACGGAAAGGCCCAAGCUUGCUUGGGUACUCGAGUGGCGAACGGGUGAGUAACACGUGGGUGAUCUGCCCUGCACUUCGGGAUAAGCCUGGGAAACUGGGUCUAAUACCGGAUAGGACCACUUCUUGGAUGUUGUGGUGGAAAGUUUUUUCGGUGUGGGAUGAGCUCGCGGCCUAUCAGCUUGUUGGUGGGGUAAUGGCCUACCAAGGCGUCGACGGGUAGCCGGCCUGAGAGGGUGUACGGCCACAUUGGGACUGAGAUACGGCCCAUACUCCUACGGGAGGCAGCAGUGGGGAAUAUUGCACAAUGGGCGCAAGCCUGAUGCAGCGACGCCGCGUGGGGGAGGACGGCCUUCGGGUUGUAAACUCCUUUCGCUAGGGACGAAGCGUUUUGUGACGGUACCUGGAGAAGAAGCACCGGCUAACUACGUG
rnacentral:rRNA from 1 species